UUAAGAAAUUAUGUCGUCUUCUUGAGGGGUGUACAAAAUGGGGAGUUUAAUAAUAAUCCUCUGAAACGUGAAAUGAAUUACUUAGUGUCUACUGCAAGCCAGGCUCUUGCGGACACAAGGCUGUUUGGGGACAACAGUCUAACCUUCAAAAGAUGUGUAAGAGUGUUCUGUUGGGAAUGGCAGCUGGCAGAGCAGCAUAUAUAAGAUGGUUAUGUUCACAUUUUUUAAAGUGUGUGUAUCCUUUAUAACUAUGUUUUUGUACCUAGAAAAAUAUGUAAAUUUAUACCUAGAAAAUAUCUGAAAGGUUAUGUAUUAAACUGUUAAUGGGGUGGAUUGGUGGCUUAUAGGGUAGGGGGCUAGGCAUUUUCACUUUUAAUACCUGUAUUUUUUUUGAGGAUUUGUUUUACUUGGGUGUCACAUUCAUAAUUUUUAAUCCUUUAAGGAGAAAAUGUGCUUAUUAAAUUUUUGGUCUCUGAAUGCUCCCAAGUCUUAGUCAUACAGAACAGCAUGCUGCAACUGUUUACAAUUCCUAAAACUGUAAACUCCUCAAGGACUUGGAGGCUAAACAUGAAGAAUAUAAAAUUAAGUUGACAAUCACUGUCUCUGUGCAUAACACUGACUUCACUUCUCUUGAGAAAUGUGCAUCUGCUAAUCCAUAUUUAUUACUUUUUAGGGGUGGGUGAACCCAUAAAUAAGAUACUGUUCUUUGAAUGCCUUUAGCUGGUGUUAUUUACCAGUAAUGCUUGGAGAAAGAAUCCAAAAUUACCCCCACUAAAAUGCUCACGACCCAAUUGUUUCUGUGUUUGUCAAAGUGUUUCUGGUAUAUUCUAGAAUAUACCAAAGAUAAUUACUUGAAUCAUUUAGAAAAUUUUACAUUAUAUCCUCUUAUAAGGCACUUGGAAAUUCACCCUUUUUUUUUUUCGGCUUGGCUUUCUAAAUGUACUUUAACAUCAAUUUAUAAUAUUAAGAGUUCCUAAGGAGAGAGAUUUCUUAGAAGAAUAAUCGUGGCUUGUCUUAGAGCCACAGGCUUUCACAAUCUGAAGUGAAUGGUGCAGAGAGCUUUCUUGUCAAGUCGUAUGUUUCUUCCUGCAACUCAGCUUGCCCUUCCCCUGCUUGUGCCGUGUACCCUGUAACACUAUGUUUGGAUUCCAGCAUCAGAUGGUGAGUUCUACUUUUGGUUUGUAAAAUCAUGUGGGAUUGUGUUUGGAAACUGCCUUUCAGGUGAAGUUCUUUUUGCUGGCCUCCAGAUAAUUAGUAACUUACUGAUGUAUUGCUUGGACCCUUGCAUUGUGUAAUAUAUGCUUCUGUUAAUAUGUGAAUGUCCAUGAAGGUUGGUUGGUAUAUAGGUCAGGAGCACCUGGCUUUUAAGGAGUCUUGUAAUUACUGUAUCGCCUGCUUUAAGUAGAAACAUGGAAGCUCAAUUAAGCACCAGAAAUUUCUUCUGAAGCUCCUACUUUUAAUGAGUUAGCACUGUUGCCUGGAUUUAUGAAUGGGCAGAUUUUGAAAAUGAGGUUCUUCAUUGUCAUCGUGGAAUUGAGUUCUGCUUAUUUUCAGACAUGCAGCUGAUAAAUCUCUCCUUAAUGAUUCCAGAAGGAAAAGGAAGGGAUGGAGUUUAGAGUUUUUUAUUUCUUUUGUCAAGGUAGUUUUAUUUUCUAGUUCAGGUACAUCAGUGAGUAAUAGUAGAGAUACAUUCUUGGCUGUUUUAGGAGAGUUAAGAGAACAUUUCAUUUAAAUGUAAAUGUUUAAAAUCAAAGAAAUGUUCCUGCAUAUGUACAGUUUUUACCUUUAAUCUUGUUUAACUGAUUUUUCUAGUCUUCAAGGAAAACUAUUUGAUUUUCACAUCUAUGAUGAGAGAAAACAGAAAAAUUGUCAAGAGUAAGAAUUGAUUUGACAUUACUUUUGAGAGUUAUCUGCUUCUUUUGCAAGUCAUAAUUUUUCAUUUUAUAGCUUUUAUACUAGGCACCUCAUUUUUCAAUGAUUUGUUUUGGUUCCAGGAUGUUGCCUUCCUGGAGAAACUGAUUAAAGAUGAUAUAGAGCGAGGAAGACUGCCCCUGUUGCUUGUCGCAAAUGCAGGUAGGUAGCAUGAUGCUGAAUCUACCAUUUUGAAUAUAUAGGAGCGAGGCUACGUCCUCAGCCUAUAAAAGAUAAAGUCUUAAUAUACUUUUUCAUUUAGAUUGUAAAUGCUUCUCUAUCUUCUCCUUCAUGUACUUCUUUUCCCUGUUCUAAACUGAAUUUUAUUUUAUGGAGUUUCACCAUGUUGGCCAGGCUGGUCUUGAACUCCUGACCUUAGGUGAUCUGCCUGCCUUGGCCUCCCAAAGUGCCGGGAUUACAGGUGUGAGCUACUGUGCCCGGCCCACAGUACAGUUUUUUAAUGAACAACAGAUGUGAGCAGAUACUUCAUCAAAGAAAAUGAAAAUGUAUAGCACUUGAAAAGAUGUUUAACAUCAUUAGUCAUGAGUGAAAUGCAAAUUAAGAUCACCGUGAGACAUUACUACAUGUCUGUUAGAAUAGAGAAAUUACAGGUGGCUCACACUUGUAAUCCCAACACUUGGGAAGGCUNNNNNNNNNNNNNNNNNNNNN
rnacentral:lncRNA from 1 species